CCUACCGUACUUUAUAGGAUUAUUUCUAUAGUACCCGCUCGUCUUCUGCUUCACAGUAAUGCGAGAAAAAAACAUCCAUAAUAAUAAGCUGGAAAAUUGUCAUCUGAGUGGGAAGUUUGACAUUUUUUUUAUAUUUUCCCAUUGAUGGCCGUUUGUUGAAUAAAUGAUUAUACAUAGUGGA
rnacentral:snoRNA from 1 species